rnacentral:rRNA from 1 species
UACGUAGGGUGCAAGCGUUGUCCGGAAUUAUUGGGCGUAAAGGGCUCGUAGGCGGUUUGUCGCGUCGGGAGUGAAAUCCACUGGCUUAACUGGUGGCUUGCUUUCGAUACGGGCAGACUGGAGGUAUGCAGGGGAGAACGGAAUUCCUGGUGUAGCGGUGAAAUGCGCAGAUAUCAGGAGGAACACCGGUGGCGAAGGCGGCUCACUGGGGGUUUUCUGACGCUGAGGAACGAAAGCCAGGGGAGCGAACGGG